rnacentral:rRNA from 1 species
GAUGAACGCUAGCGGCAGGCUUAAUACAUGCAAGUCGAGGGGCAGCAUGAGUAGCAAUACUUGAUGGCGACCGGCAAACGGGUGCGGAACACGUACACAACCUUCCUUCAAGCGAGGAAUAGCCCAGAGAAAUUUGGAUUAAUACCUCAUAGCAUAUUAGAGUGGCAUCACUUCUAUAUUAAAGAUUUAUCACUUGAAGAUGGGCAUGCGUCCGAUUAGUUUGUUGGUGAGGUAACGGCUCACGAAGACUACGAUCGGUAGGGGAUCUGAGAGGAUGGCCCCCCACACUGGUACUGAGACACGGACCAGACUCCUACGGGAGGCAGCAGUAAGGAAUAUUGGUCAAUGGACGGAAGUCUGAACCAGCCAUGCCGCGUGCAGGAAGACGGUCCUCUGGAUUGUAAACUGCUUUUGUUAGGGAAGAAACUUCCGUACGUGUACGGGACUGACGGUACCUAAAGAAUAAGGAUCGGCUAACUCCGUGCCAGCAGCCGCGGUAAAAC